rnacentral:rRNA from 1 species
GACGAACGCUGGCGGCGUGCUUAACACAUGCAAGUCGAGCGGUAAGGCCCUUUCGGGGGUACACGAGCGGCGAACGGGUGAGUAACACGUGGGUGACCUGCCCUUAGCUCUGGGAUAAGCCUGGGAAACUGGGUCUAAUACCGGAUAUGACUCCAUGACGCAUGUUGUGGGGUGGAAAGCCUUGUGCGGCUAGGGAUGGGCCCGCGGCCUAUCAGCUGUUGGUGGGGUGAUGGCCUACCAAGGCGACGACGGGUAGCCGGCCUGAGAGGGCGACCGGCCACACUGGGACUGAGACACGGCCCAGACUCCUACGGGGAGGCAGCAGUGGGGGAAUCUUGCGCAAUGGGCGAAAGCCUGACGCAGCGACGCCGCGUGAGGGAUGACGGCCU